rnacentral:rRNA from 1 species
AUUGAGCGCUGGCGGUAUGCUUUACACAUGCAAGUCGAACGGUAGAGGGGCAACCCUUGAGAGUGGCGAACGGGUGAGUAAUACAUCGGAACGUGCCCAGUCGUGGGGGAUAACGUAGCGAAAGCUACGCUAAUACCGCAUACGACCUGAGGGUGAAAGCGGGGGACCUGCAAGGGCCUCGCGCGAUUGGAGCGGCCGAUGGCAGAUUAGGUAGUUGGUGAGGUAAAGGCUCACCAAGCCGACGAUCUGUAGCUGGUCUGAGAGGACGACCAGCCACACUGGGACUGGGACACGGCCCAGACUCCUACGGGAGGCAGCAGUGGGGAAUUUUGGACAAUGGGCGCAAGCCUGAUCCAGCCAUACCGCGUGCAGGAAGAAGGCCUUCGGGUUGUAAACUGCUUUUGUCAGGGAAGAAAUCUUCUGGGCUAAUACCCUGGGAGGAUGACGGUACCUGAAGGAUAAGCACCGGCUAACUACGUGCCAGCCGCCGCAGUAAAAC